rnacentral:rRNA from 1 species
AUUGAACGCUGGCGGCAGGCCUAACACAUGCAAGUCGAACGAGUGGCGGACGGGUGAGUAAUGUCUGGGAAACUGCCCGAUGGAGGGGGAUAACUACUGGAAACAGUAGCUCAUACCGCAUACUCUCGAAUGUGCCCAGAUGGGAGUAGCUAGGAGGUGGGGUAACGGCUCCCCUAGGCGACGAUCCCUAGCCGUUCUGAGAGGUUGACCAGCCACACUGGAACUGAGACACGGUCCAGACGCCUACGGGAGGCAGCAGUGGGGAAUAUUGCACAAUGGGCGAAAGCCUGAGGCAGCCAGGCCGCGUGUAUGAAGAAGGCCUUCGGGUUGUAAAGUACUUUCAGCGAGGAGGCGUUACUCGCAGAAGAAGCACCGGCUAACUCCGUGCCAGCAGCCGCGGUAAUAC